UACGUAGGGGGCAAGCGUUGUCCGGAAUCAUUGGGCGUAAAGCGCGUGUAGGCGGCCCGGUAAGUCCGCUGUGAAAGUCCAGGGCUCAACCCUGGGAUGCCGGUGGAUACUGUCGGGCUCGAGUCCGGAAGAGGCGAGUGGAAUUCCUGGUGUAGCGGUGAAAUGCGCAGAUAUCAGGAGGAACACCAAUGGCGAAGGCAGCUCGCUGGGACGUGACUGACACUGAGACGCGAAAGCGUGGGGAGCAAACAGG
rnacentral:rRNA from 1 species